AAGCCGAACGUCGUCGCCGUCGUCAGCAGCGGGAGGCGGAGAGACGCCGCCGGCUCAUCCUCCUUCGCCACCGCCCCAGCCGACGAAGGCUCCCACCCCUCCGCCAGUGCCAAUCAAUGAGAAAAUGGCCGACGUCCGCGCUCUCGCGAGAGUUGGAAGGCCCGGCCUCAGCCCCCAGCGGCCCGGCCGGGUCGCGGAGGUGGUCUGUGCGUGUCGGUGGGGCUCACGCCCUCGCUGGGCGACAGUUUCGUGCGGCGGUCUUCACACAGCCUCUUACCGAGUCCGGGGCUCGCCCCGUGGCAGUGCACAACCUCCACUGGAAACCGAAGGGCAGAGCCCGCCCCGAGCGCCCCCUGCUCUGGGAGAUCUCACAGUCCUUUCUGUCUGUUGGGGCGAGAACGGAAAAUAUUGUGUGCGAGGAAGCCGCUGUCGUUCCUUUCUCAGCUCUGCUCGCUUUGGGGCAGGUGUUUAUUGCUCUCCCCUGACUUCCAGCGCACGUGAGAAAGUAGCAAAGGAUUAAACUGUGCUGGAAGGACGGGCAGCUGCGCACUGCCCGGCUUCACACCUUGUGGCACGUGUGCCAGGGGUUCGGUAACGGCUGCGGGGGGGUCCUCGCGACCCUCGUGAGGGAGAGACCCCGACCGUUGGGCGGGAGCUUCUCGCGCCGCGCGCCCCUACGCUCGCAGUAGUAAUGGGGGCCGGGCAGUCAGAAGGAGGCUGUGCCGGCUGUGUCCUGACUUUAAGUCAAGUUUUUCGCUUCGUUUUACUUUCUCUUGUAUACUUUUGGGGUAAUCUGCCCGUUCUUGAAUGUGCGAAUUGAAAAAGGAGCCAGCUAGGCUUGUCCUCAAAAACAUGUCACACUGUGGGUACCUGAAGUAUGUUCACGUCAGUGUAAAGUGUGUAAAUUGAGGGACAACAUUCCGUUUUCAAAUAGAGUAUUUCUGUUGCAUCAGUUAAUUGUUGUACUCAGUGAAAAGGUAUCAGUUUCUCUGUCUUAGGCACUCAAAAAAAUCAAAUACUAAUCCAUAGAAUUACUGAAAUGCAUAUUGCAAGGAACAUAAUUGCGCUGUUUUGUCUACUUGACUGUGUAAUAGUGAGAAACACUUUAGUUGGCUAAUGAAGAUUAGUAACUGAUAGAUGGAUGGACUUCCUUUGUGGAAAUACUUUUCUCAUUAUUUUAGUGUCCUCUUGUGGAAAAGUACAGAAUUGAGGAUGCUUUUAGGGUUUGUGCCCAAUAAACUUUUUGAACAGUGCUUCAAAGUCAUCAUUUCUUUGAACAGCAACCUUAAUAUUUUUAUUUUCAUCUUGCCAAUUUGUGGUGGUAGAUGCCACACCUCACAGUUUUUAUAAAUAACGUUCCUGGAAAUCAGCACAAAAAUCCCUUUGAAAAUAGUAUAAAACAGUUUUUCAGCAUGUUCUUGAAGUGUUCGUGAUUGCAUAACUUUACAGGGUCAACUUUAUACAGUAGAGGUCAGUAGGACCUCUGGGAGAGCCACUCCUGCCAUCUGGAUUUAAAACAGUUAGCACUUUGCAGCCUCUUAUCCCAUUGAGACACCUGAGCACUAAUAAGAUGAAAUCAGGUACCAGUACAAGAAUAUGUGAAUCCCUUGCUUUUAAGGAUACCCACUGUUAGAACAGGGUUGCAUAGGCAGGGCUGCCCUUUACAAGUGGGGAAAAACGUGGAAUAGUUGUGUGGUUUUAUUUUUUGUUUGUUUGUUUGUUUUGUAGGAAAGUUUAGAAUUAAUGAAAUCCUGUCUUCUGGAGAAUAAUAGUUGUUUUUUUUUUUAAAUUUAAUAUUAGUUCUAUUGCUGAUUAGUUUGUUUUUUUUAGCUUUUUUGGGAGGGGGGGAAGGAUUUUUGCAAGGAUCUCAGUGGGUGAAAAAGUUAGAAUUGCUGGAAAAAGAAAAAAAAGGUAGAGUUAUCAACAACUGUCAGUAUCUGGAGAAGCACUGCCUUCUGGUCAUCUUCUAUUUUCCAGUGGUAUCCAGAGAUCCACGAGAUUAGUAAGCAACAUGGGAUGAAGAGCCAGAAUGGAGACAAGCUUCCAACAGAAGGUGAUAAAAUCAUUAGAGCAUUGGGUGGCACCAGCAAUGCAUGACCUUUCAACGCUAUGUGCUUAAAGCUACGGAAUACUUCGGAACAUUCUUGGUCAGAAGCAAACACAGUUCCAGAGUGAUUGACCUCUUGCACUUGUGAAAACCUUCCUGGUGUUACUAGCAGUAAAACACAUGCAAUAAUAGGAUGAUUUUCCCCUUCAGGCUUUGGGAACAGAUGUAAGCUGGAAUCAUGUAGCAUUUGAGGGAUCCAACAAAUCUUGCACUGACUUGCUGACUUAGGCUUGUGGCCAGCUCUUCUAUUUAAAAUGUGCAGUAGAUAGGAAAUCUGUGGUCUAUUUAAAUGUAUGAGACAAAACACACUCAAUACAACCUUUCUGGAAUCUGGGCUGGUAUGGUGUUAGCCUGCCUCUAUAGCCAUAGAGGAGAAGGCAUCUCUCUGCGCAGCACCUUAACAAAGGCUUAUGUACGAAAAGGAGAGUUGCAUUGAAUGCAUACCAUGAUGGUAAUGUCAGUCACUGACAUGGUUCAGUUAUGUCAGAGGCUUAAAAAAAAAAAAAAAAAA